UGAAACACGGAGCAAUCUGUGGCUUACAGAUGGGCCUGCGGCGCAUUAGCUAGUUGGUGAGGUAACGGCUCACCAAGGCGACGAUGCGUAGCCGACCUGAGAGGGUGAUCGGCCACACUGGGACUGAGACACGGCCCAGACUCCUACGGGAGGCAGCAGUAGGGAAUCUUCCGCAAUGGACGCAAGUCUGACGGAGCAACGCCGCGUGAGUGAUGAAGGUUUUCGGAUCGUAAAGCUCUGUUGCCAGGGAAGAAUGCUAAGGAGAGUAACUGCUCUUUAGGUGACGGUACCUGAGAAGAAAGCCCCGGCUAACUACGUGCCAGCAGCCGCGGUAAUACGUAGGGGGCAAGCGUUGUCCGGAAUUAUUGGGCGUAAAGCGCGCGCAGGCGGUCAUUUAAGUUUGGUGUUUAAUUCCGGGGCUCAACCCCGGGUCGCACUG
rnacentral:rRNA from 1 species